rnacentral:misc_RNA from 1 species
GAUGAAGAACGUAGCGAAAUGCGAUACGUAAUGUGAAUUGCAGAAUUCAGUGAAUCAUUGAAUCUUUGAACGCACAUUGCGCCUGCCAGCACUCUGGCAGGCAUGCCUGUUCGAGCGUCAUUUCAACCAUCAAGCCCUAGGCUUGCGUUGGAGCCCUGCGGCUGCCGCAGGCCCCUAAAAGCAGUGGCGGGCUCGCUAUCACACCGAGUGCAGUAGAUUACUCUUCGCUCAGGGCGUGUGGCGGGUUCCAGCCGUGAAACCCCCUACUUCUCAAGGUUGACCUCGGAUCAGGUAGGAAUACCCGCUGAACUUAAGCAUAUCAAUAAGCGGAGGA